rnacentral:lncRNA from 1 species
CGGAAUUCAAUGGCAAGCUUGGAAAUGUUAGGUGGUGGCUAGAUAUGGUGACUUGUUCGAAUGGCAGCUUGAUGAUGUGGCAUUGGGCGAUGGAGUGGCGGUUGGCGAGUUACGACGGUGUCGACUUAGCGGACUGAGGUGUCUUGAUGGUACUGAAGGUAGGCUGAGACAGCAAGUCUUGUGGUGAUGUGAAUGGCGUAGCUCGAUGAUGAGCUUGUUAAUAUGGCGUGGACCAUUAAACAUUUGAGGCUCACAAUCUAUUGAGCGAAAAAUUUGGAUGUCACAAUCGUGGGAUGAUCAUUUAUAUUC